UACGUAGGGUCCGAGCGUUGUCCGGAAUUACUGGGCGUAAAGAGCUCGUAGGUGGUUUGUCGCGUUGUUCGUGAAAACUCACAGCUUAACUGUGGGCGUGCGGGCGAUACGGGCAGACUGGAGUACUGCAGGGGAGACUGGAAUUCCUGGUGUAGCGGUGAAAUGCGCAGAUAUCAGGGGGAACACCGGUGGCGAAGGCGGGUCUCUGGGCCGUAACUGACGCUGAGGAGCGAAAGCGUGGGGAGCGAACAGG
rnacentral:rRNA from 1 species